GACGAACGCUGGCGGCGUGCUUAACACAUGCAAGUCGAACGGAAAGGCCCCUUCGGGGGUACUCGAGUGGCGAACGGGUGAGUAACACGUGAGUAACCUGCCCUUGACUUCGGGAUAACUUCAGGAAACUGGGGCUAAUACCGGAUAGGAAUCCUUGCUGCAUGGUGGGGGUUGGAACGCUUCGGCGGUUUUGGAUGGACUCGCGGCUUAUCAGCUUGUUGGUGGGGUAGUGGCUUACCAAGGCUUUGACGGGUAGCCGGCCUGAGAGGGCGACCGGCCACAUUGGGACUGAGAUACGGCCCAGACUCCGACGGGAGGCAGCAGUGGGGAAUAUUGCACAAGGGGCGGAAGCCGGAUGCAGCAACGCCGCGGGCGGGAUGACGGCCUUCGGGUUGUAAACCGCUUUCAGCAGGGGCGAAGCUUGUGGUGACGGUACCUGCAGAAGAAGCACCGGCUAACUACGUG
rnacentral:rRNA from 1 species